UGAACUUGGAACUGGAUAAAUAAAAACGCUAAAAAUUGGAUCCGAAUACAUCCAUAUUAAAAAUGAAUACGAAUACGGAUAUCCAUAUUGCAAAUAUCGAUAAUAGGAUUUCAAGACAUCCAUGUACAUCUCUACCGUUAAUUAUAAACCUUUACUUAUGCACAGUAUGCAGUGGUAGAGGCAAUGGCUAGUUCUAGGUUCAUGCCUACAUUUACUCCUAG
rnacentral:lncRNA from 1 species